rnacentral:rRNA from 1 species
GAUGAGCGCUGGCGGCGUGCCUAAUACAUGCAAGUCGAGCGAACGGACGAGAAGCUUGCUUCUCUGAUGUUAGCGGCGGACGGGUGAGUAACACGUGGAUAACCUACCUAUAAGACUGGGAUAACUUCGGGAAACCGGAGCUAAUACCGGAUAAUAUUUUGAACCGCAUGGUUCAAAAGUGAAAGACGGUCUUGCUGUCACUUAUAGAUGGAUCCGCGCUGCAUUAGCUAGUUGGUAAGGUAACGGCUUACCAAGGCAACGAUGCAUAGCCGACCUGAGAGGGUGAUCGGCCACCCUGGAGCUGAGACACGGUCCAGACUCCUACGGGAGGCAGCAGUAGGGAAUCUUCCGCAAUGGGCGAAAGCCUGACGGAGCAACGCCGCGUGAGUGAUGAAGGUCUUCGGAUCGUAAAACUCUGUUAUUAGGGAAGAACAUAUGUGUAAGUAACUGUGCACAUCUUGACGGUACCUAAUCAGAAAGCCACGGCUAACUACGUG